rnacentral:rRNA from 1 species
UACAGAGGGUGCAAGCGUUGUUCGGAAUCAUUGGGCGUAAAGGGCGUGUAGGCGGUCUGCUAAGUCAUGUGUGAAAGCCCUCGGCUUAACCGAGGAACGACGCAUGAAACUGGCAAGCUAGAGUACCAAAGAGGGGGGUGGAAUUCCCGGUGUAGCGGUGAGAUGCGUAGAUAUCAGGAGGAAUACCGGUGGCGAAAGCGGGUUGCUAGGCUGAUACUGACGCUGAGGCGCGAAAGCUAGGGUAGCAAACGGG